rnacentral:rRNA from 1 species
UGGGGAAUAUUGGACAAUGGGCGCAAGCCUGAUCCAGCCACGCCGCGUGAGUGAUGAAGGCCUUCGGGUCGUAAAGCUCUGUGGGGAGGGACGAACCGCCAGGUAUUAAUACCAUCUGGCAUGACGGUACCUCCUUAGCAAGCACCGGCUAACUUCGUGCCAGCAGCCGCGGUAAUACGAAGGGUGCAAACGUUGCUCGGAAUCAUUGGGCGUAAAGCGCACGUAGGCGGCUCCAAAAGUCGGAUGUGAAAUCCCUGGGCUCAACCGAGGAAGUGCAUCCGAAACUGCGGAGCUUGAGUAUGGAAGAGGGUCGCGGAAUUCCCGGUGUAGAGGUGAAAUUCGUAGAUAUCGGGAGGAACACCAGUGGCGAAGGCGGCGACCUGGGCCAAUACUGACGCUGAGGUGCGAAAGCGUGGGGAGCAAACAGG